rnacentral:rRNA from 1 species
AUUGAACGCUGGCGGCAUGCCUUACACAUGCAAGUCGAACGGCAGCACGGGGUAACCUGGUGGCGAGUGGCGAACGGGUGAGUAAUAUAUCGGAACGUACCCAGAAGUGGGGGAUAACGCAGCGAAAGUUGCGCUAAUACCGCAUACGAUCUACGGAUGAAAGUGGGGGACCUGCAAGGGCCUCAUGCUUUUGGAGCGGCCGAUAUCUGAUUAGCUAGUUGGUGAGGUAAAGGCUCACCAAGGCAUCGAUCAGUAGCUGGUCUGAGAGGACGACCAGCCACACUGGAACUGAGACACGGUCCAGACUCCUACGGGAGGCAGCAGUGGGGAAUUUUGGACAAUGGGGGCAACCCUGAUCCAGCAAUGCCGCGUGAGUGAAGAAGGCCUUCGGGUUGUAAAGCUCUUUUGUCAGGGAAGAAACGGUUUCUCCUAAUAUGGGGAGCUAAUGACGGUACCUGAAGAAUAAGCACCGGCUAACUACGUGCCAGCAGCCGCGGUAAUACGUAGGGUGCAAGCGUUAAUCGGAAUUACUGGGCGUAAAGCGUGCGCAGGCGGUUAUGUAAGUCAGAUGUGAAAUCCCCGGGCUCAACCUGGGAAUGGCAUUUGAGACUGCAUGGCUAGAGUGUGUCAGAGGGGGGUAGAAUUCCACGUGUAGCAGUGAAAUGCGUAGAGAUGUGGAGGAAUACCGAUGGCGAAGGCAGCCCCCUGGGAUAACACUGACGCUCAUGCACGAAAGCGUGGGGAGCAAACAGGAUUAGAUACCCUGGUAGUCCACGCCCUAACGAUGUCUACUAGUUGUCGGGUCUUAAUUGACUUGGUAACGCAGCUAACGCGUGAAGUACACCGCCUGGGGAGUACGGUCGCAAGAUUAAAACUCAAGGAAUUGACGGGGAC